GCUAAGGGCGGGGCAGCAGCCGGGGCAAUACGGAGGUGGCAAGCGUGGUCCGGAUUUGCGGGGCGUAAAGGGCGGGCAGGGGGCCAAGUCAGGCGAAUGUGAAAGCCCCCGGCGUAACUGGGGAGGGUCAUUCGAUACUGCUUGGCUCGAAGACAGGAGAGGGAAGCGGAAUUCCCGGUGUAGUGGUGAAAUGCGUAGAUAUCGGGAGGAACACCAGUGGCGAAGGCGGCUUUCUGGCCUGUUCUUGACGCUGAGGCGCGAAAGCUAGGGGAGCAAACGGGAUUAGAUACCCGGGUAGUC
rnacentral:rRNA from 1 species